rnacentral:rRNA from 1 species
GACAGAGGGUGCAAACGUUGUUCGGAAUUACUGGGCGUAAAGCGCGUGUAGGCUGCUCUGUGUGUCGGAUGUGAAAGCCCUGGGCUCAACCUAGGAAGUGCAUUCGAAACUACAGAGCUUGAGUUCUGGAGAGGAAAGCGGAAUUCUCGGUGUAGAGGUGAAAUUCGUAGAUAUCGAGAGGAACACCGGUGGCGAAGGCGGCUUUCUGGACAGUAACUGACGCUGAGACGCGAAAGCGUGGGGAGCAAACAGGAUUAAGAA